UCCAGACUCCUACGGGAGGCAGCAGUGGGGAAUAUUGCACAAUGGGGGAAACCCUGAUGCAGCGACGCCGCGUGAGUGAAGAAGUAUUUCGGUAUGUAAAGCUCUAUCAGCAGGGAAGAAAAUGACGGUACCUGAUUAAGAAGCCCCGGCUAACUACGUGCCAGCAGCCGCGGUAAUACGUAGGGGGCAAGCGUUAUCCGGAUUUACUGGGUGUAAAGGGUGCGUAGGUGGCAUGGCAAGUCAGAAGUGAAAGCCCGGGGCUCAACCCCGCGGACUGCUUUUGAAACUGUAUAGCUUGAGGGCAGGAGAGGAAAGUGGAAUUCCUAGUGUAGCGGUGAAAUGCGUAGAUAUUAGGAGGAACACCAGUGGCGAAGGCGACUUUCUGGACUGUACCUGACGCUGAGGCGCGAAAGCGUGGGUAGCGAACGGGAUUAGAUACCCUUGUACA
rnacentral:rRNA from 1 species